UGGAUUGUGGCUCAGCGGUAGAGCACUCACCUAGCACAUGUGAGGCCCUGGGUUUGAUACUCAGCACUACAU
rnacentral:tRNA from 1 species